UAACUAUCAACCCCUAUAUUUGUCAGUCGCAUAAUUACAAUAAAAUAAUUCAUACAUAAACCAGCGAUACGAACAAGGUUAAACAACUGUUUUAAAAGAGUAUUGAUAAGGCGUUAAUUUUCGGUUGAUUAGCAGUAAAAUAGUCGUAAAUAAAUUAAUAGUUUCAGCCAUAGUCAUUAGAAAUGUAAGUAUUAGACUGAAUUGCAACAAAGAACUAACACCGAUAUUGAUAGGUCAAUUUUAUUUAGAGAGGGAACAUGCUUUAUACCGCUUAGCGAUUGAACUGUGGAAAUAUAACGUUGAGAAAUUAAAACAAGAUAAGCCUGCUUUCAAACAGGCUUUUUAUUUAUUUUA
rnacentral:misc_RNA from 1 species